rnacentral:rRNA from 1 species
UACCAGCACCCCGAGUGGUCGGGACGUUUAUUGGGCCUAAAGCAUCCGUAGCCGGUUCUACAAGUCUUCCGUUAAAUCCACCUGCUUAACAGAUGGGCUGCGGAAGAUACUAUAGAGCUAGGAGGCGGGAGAGGCAAGCGGUACUCGAUGGGUAGGGGUAAAAUCCGUUGAUCCAUUGAAGACCACCAGUGGCGAAGGCGGCUUGCCAGAACGCGCUCGACGGUGAGGGAUGAAAGCUGGGGGAGCAACCGGAUUA